rnacentral:sRNA from 1 species
UGGUUGUUCACGGAGAAGGUAGUGUAUUUGUUUUUUUCCUCCUUUAAGGAGUUUGGUAUUAUGUGCUUUUGCAUGGGAUUGGAGAGGUGGUUUUGUGAAAAAACAAAACCCGUGUCUGAUAUGUUUGGGUUUGUAGUGAGCAAAGAAAUAUUUGUAAAGACUUUGGAGGCAUAGGAGGGACUCACCUAUUGUUGUUUUGUUGUGGGCAUUAUUUUUUUUAGUCUGAAGUUGAUUAGAAAAGAGAGGAGGAGGGGCUUUUAAAUUAGCUUAAUUUGUGAGUCAGAAAAAAAAAACAUUUGCUACUAUUCUUACAAAAAAAACAGAACACUAGUAAGAGAGGUGUAGAGACUUUGUUCUUCUACUCUUAGUAGAGUUUCAAAGAGGAUCCAAGAGGGUGGAGUGACUUUGGGGUACAUCAAGAGGAGAGAAGCUUGUGGUCAUUUCAUUAACAUCAAAGAAAACUCUAGAAAAUUUCUACAACAAGAGAUGAUAUUGCAGAUGUUACUGGAAUGGAGUAGCUCAACGAGAGUGCUGGGAAAUAAAACUUGUCUGGGAUUUUCUUUAAGUUGCUAUUUAUCGGCGUGUUUAAUUUUUAUCGUUCUAAAAGACAAAUAAUAUGUGUUUUCAAUAUGAUGUAAGAACAUAUAAUAAGUAAUGCUUUGCUUCCGCAUUUAAAAAAAUAAAUAAAUCUGUAUUUGGACAAGAAUGUUUUAAACGUUUGUAGUUUGAUCUAUUUUAAGUAACAUCUUAUUAAGGGGCGUUACAGCAAACGGUUUAAAUAACACUUAAAGUAUUAAUGUAUUGGAAGCUGCGAUAAGAGUGCAGAAGACAAGAAGCUCAUAACAUUUGUUUAUGUAAUGACAAAAGCACAUGCAC